AUUGAACGCUGGCGGCAGGCCUAACACAUGCAAGUCGAGCGGAUGAAGGGAGCUUGCUCCUGGAUUCGGCGGCGGACGGGUGAGUAAUGCCUAGGAAUCUGCCUGGUAGUGGGGGAUAACGUCCGGAAACGGGCGCUAAUACCGCAUACGUCCUGAGGGAGAAAGUGGGGGAUCUUCGGACCUCACGCUAUCAGAUGAGCCUAGGUCGGAUUAGCUAGUUGGUGGGGUAAAGGCCUACCAAGGCGACGAUCCGUAACUGGUCUGAGAGGAUGAUCAGUCACACUGGAACUGAGACACGGUCCAGACUCCUACGGGAGGCAGCAGUGGGGAAUAUUGGACAAUGGGCGAAAGCCUGAUCCAGCCAUGCCGCGUGUGUGAAGAAGGUCUUCGGAUUGUAAAGCACUUUAAGUUGGGAGGAAGGGCAGUAAGUUAAUACCUUGCUGUUUUGACGUUACCAACAGAAUAAGUACCGGCUAACUUCGUG
rnacentral:rRNA from 1 species